GCGCUCACUUCGGCAGCACAUAUACUAAAACUGGAAUGAUACAGAGAAGAUUAACAUGGUCCCUGGGCAAGGGUAACGUGCAAAUUUGUGAAGUGUUCUGUAUUUUU